rnacentral:rRNA from 1 species
AUGAACGCUGGCGGCGUGCCUAAUACCUGCCAGUCGAGCGAACAGACGAGGAGCUUGCUCCUCUGACGUUAGCGGCGGACGGGGGAGUAACACGUGGAUAACCUACCUAUAAGACUGGGAUAACUUCGGGAAACCGGAGCUAAUACCGGAUAAUAUAUUGAACCGCAUGGUUCAAUAGUGAAAGACGGUUUUGCUGUCACUUAUAGAUGGAUCCGCGCCGCAUUAGCUAGUUGGUAAGGUAACGGCUUACCAAGGCAACGAUGCGUAGCCGACCUGAGAGGGUGAUCGGCCACACUGGAACUGAGACACGGUCCAGACUCCUACGGGAGGCAGCAGUAGGGAAUCUUCCGCAAUGGGCGAAAGCCUGACGGAGCAACGCCGCGUGAGUGAUGAAGGUCUUCGGAUCGUAAAACUCUGUUAUUAGGGAAGAACAAAUGUGUAAGUAACUAUGCACGUCUUGACGGUACCUAAUCAGAAAGCCACGGCUAACUACGUG